GAGAGAGAGAGAGAGAGAGAGAGAGAGAGAGAGAGAGAGAGAGAGAUGGGCACUUUGCUCUAUUCGAAGAAUUAUGCCUAAAUUGCUUUCAAUCGGUUUGCUGAAAUUGAUUUAAAACAAUUAGAAAUGGAAUAAAAACAUUACUUCUGGUGGAUUACUGUUACAACUACUGAACAAACAACCCCCUAUACUUGACUUGAUCUGGCUUGAUCCUGAAGCUCAGAUAUUCUACUAAAGCGCAUGUUUAGCAGGUGAUGCUGAUCUUUGCUAGUCAGGGUUAACGGACACUUAUAUGGCUUACAACUCCAGAUUCUCAAUUUGAUCUAUUAAAAGUUAAAAGACUGUAUUAGCAAAAUGCUACAAUAUGGACUACACUAGAGCAAUGCUAUUUCAUCUGUAAAGCAGCCAGGUAACGGCUGUUAAACAGCGGAUCUCGGCUCCUCCGACCUGUCAUCAUUAUAGACAUUAAUGUGGAAUCGCCUUAAGGUCCAAACCCGUGCGCGAUAACUCAUGUCCCGCACAAAUUCCCAGGCAAACACAGUCAAUGCAAAAACACAUUUCCUGCUGUCGACAGCUUCGCUGGUGAGAAUCAAUCAACCGUUCAUCCAUUUACACUCUUUGCAUACCCUUAUGUCAAAGAAAAAAAGAAAAAAACAAAACGCUCCGAGACUCCUCGGCUCUUCUGAGGCGAUUGCUCCGUCGUUCUGAAGAAUCCAUCAAGCCGCGUUUGAUUGAUAAGUCUGUCUGCGCUCACAGCGGUACGGCUACAGCAAAUGGGGUGGCAAAGCACGAGCUGACAUAAUGCAAGUCUGCGCAAGUUUUUGGAGACAGACUGGGAACGAUCAUGGGGGGUAAAAGUUUGAUGGUACGACAUGCUACCAAAUAACACGCAGAGUCGAGGCCAACGCAAGCUGGCCCUGUGUGCAAUUUUUUCGACAAAGAUGCAGACCUUUGAUAAAACCGGCUCCUAUAUGAUGUUUUAUUCAGCACCUGACAUUGUCCUCAUUUGCAUUUUGCUUCUUUAUUUGACAUAGUGCGAAGCGCUCAGCCGUUCCAAGUACCUGGUUGAGACUAUAAAGCAUAACAUUGUCAGAAGUGGGAUUAAAGAUGGACCCAGUAGGCAGCAGCCAUUAUCACCAUGAAAACUUUACCAAAAUGAUCUGAGGAGCUUACAGGCUUUUAUUCGGAGUUUGAACACUUGAUUUUGAUUUUUGUCAGCAAGACACAUCCUAAUGACCAAGUUCUCUAAAAACGAGGCCAUUUUUAGGGCAGUGUAAUGGAUCUCGCAUUAGGGGCCAGCUGCACACAGAGUAACACCCUCCUACUCCCCAUGUGGAGAGUCACCCCCUGUGUAAAACACAUUAUUCUUUGGGGGGUAUUCUUCUUUGGGGGUGCAAACACACACAACGCGUUCAGCCUGUGGGACAUGAGGGAAGGAGGUAAAACUAGACAGGGAUGAGGGCCCCCCUCUUCAAUCUGAGUCCCUAGGAGGGCCGGCCCAGCACCUGCUAACUCAGGGCAGUGCUCAUCAGAAAAGCAUUUAGCACACUCGCUAACUCCAGGCCAUAAUUAGGGUGGGUAAUUAUUUACAGGCGGCGCUGGGCAGAGCUGGCCUAGCAUAAACAAACAGGCGGCUCGGAGUCACACGACAAACAUCGUUAGCUCUCCGCUCGUUUUCGCCCAAAUGGCAAAAACACUAGCAGCAUGUACUCUCGCUCCCUGAGAGAAGAAAAAAAAACUUGGUCUAAAAAAGCUGUCGAUCGCUUCCCAAACACAUUUUAGAGAAGCACAACUAUUGUAACAUCUGCAGUCUCACACACACACAAACACACACACACUCAUGAAUAUGAUAACGUGUGAAAUGACAGAUUUAUUUGUGUGUGGCUCCAGGCUUUUAUCUCUGGCACAGUUCAUCAACUCCUCAGCACGAGGACUGCUAACCAACGUAGCGUCUGCACAUGCUAAUUACUGGACCAUGGUUAGCUACAAACCGCACAAUCUCUCCCAAACUAUGAUAUCUAUCAUUUCCUUUUGGGUUAUUUUAGUAGAUUUAUCUUUCACAUCAUAAAUAAAGCUGCCAAGUUGCACUUAAAUGCUUAUAAUAUGUUUUUUUGGUACAUGUUUCCAGUUGUGUGUCACAUGAAUUUGUUUAGUGUAAACAUAAAGGUAAAUUCAGUUUAUGACACUGUUAACUUGAACAGAUCACUCUAUCACUGACAGAAAUGAAAUUUACUAUUAGGAUUGCAAAAUAACGUUAGAUUUCCAACCGUUUAAAACAUCUGUAGUUUAGGGUAAAAUGCUAUUUUAUUUAUCUAAAAAGAACCAUUUUUUCUCCUGACAGAAAAUAUCACUGUGUACAGAGUGAAUACAAACAGUGCGGCUCAUGCUAACACUGAAGCAGAGUUAGCGCCCCAGUUUACAAUGACACGCUAGUAGCUGUCAGAAGUGAGUGGCAUGUCAGACCAUGAUUAAUCUGAACAAUCUUCUGUAUGGAUGUUUCAGUUGUUGGUGGAGAAUGGGAGGCUAAUUCAAACAGAAUGUGUAACGCUGUUUACUAAGCAGUGUCUCUUGUGUGUAUUUAAUUGCGCCAGCAGCGAGAAAGAUGAAGAAAGUGAAGGAAGGAGAAAGAAUGGGAGAGCUCCAGAUGGCUCUGAAGCUCUGCUGAGAACUCGGUGGAUUUUUUUUUCCCCCUGAAGUUUUAAUUAGCCUCGAGAACAUUUAAGGGGAAAGUCCUCUUAAACUUGCAGUGUUAAAGAUGACUGAAUGGUGUUUACUUUUGUUAAGUCUUAGUACCUAGUUAAGCUUGAGGGGCACAUACAAUGAAAUACUUUUAGCAGUGGAAAUCUGCUAAAAUGUACGAUAGAUUUUUAUAUUAAAAAUUGCUAGUUAACUUAGUGGUGCCUUAAUUUUAGGAAUAUUUGCCCUAUAUUUGUCCUUGUUGCUCAAUAUUUAUAAAAAGUCUAUCAAGAGUAUCUGGUGGAAAUUGUAAAAAAAUGUUCAGACUAUAGAAUAUAACUCCCACAUUGUGGUUUUAUAUGCUACUUGCUUACUCAUUCACUCUUAAUAACCACCAAGUAACCUUCUGUUUAUUAGCCUUCAACACCAUCCGCCGAUAAUCCCUUUGGCAAAUCUAGCAAAAUAUCCUUAAAGCCAUAUGGUGUAGAGUAAAAAAAUUCAUUUUUGAGAGGAUAUCUAACGUGACAGUCUGGAAUACUACAAUCAUCGGCACAUUUGAGAAAAUCUUAAAUGUGUAUGAGUGUCCGGAUUUGCAUUCCUCAUUCCCGUAAGUAUAUAUGUAAGAAAGGUCUAUUAGUUUCACUGUAGUUACUGAAUUAUUCAUAGUACUUAAUAUGCUGUUAGAUGAAUAACUGAAUAAUAAGCCGGGAGUUUAAGUUAAUAGUGGAACAAAUAUAAACAAUUUAUAAUACUGAGGGGAAAAAAUAUAACAAAUUGGAUGCAGAUCAUUUCUUUCCUGCCUCAUUAAAAAAAAAAGACUACUACAUAAUUGCAAGUCUGGUAGUAAUGCAGCAAUACUGAAAAACAACUCAAUGAGCAAUUUAUUAACUGAGUUAUAUGCUUCUAAAGAGUGAUGUGUUAAACCCUAACACAAAGACCACGAGGCAUCACAUCUUUGUACUCUUGUGCUUCGAUCCUUUUCAUCUGUAAACGCAUACACACACACACACACGUGCACACACACUCGCUCACUCACUCACUCGCUCACUCACUCACUCACUCAGGCCAUCACAUACUAAUUGAAACAAGUUUAUUUUGUCCUCUACAAAGCGUUUAAGGCCGUUAUCGUAAAUGACGUGGCCGUGGCUUUGUUCUCUUUUCAAACACAAUUAGAAGAUAAUAUAUAAAUAUAUACAUACUGCAAAUGACAUGCAUAUAACAGCUUCAUUUGAAGCCUGCGCAGGUCAUUAGUAACCCAACAGGGCGCUGCAGAGCCGCCGGUCCCUCUCUGCCUGCCCGACCAGUGGAGAUUUAUUUGAUAUUAACUCCCUAAUGGCUUAACUCCUUUUCUGGUAAAAUAUGCACCAAAGUCCGUGGCUAACACCGCCAUUCAGCUGAAUGCUUAUUUAUUCACUAAACGAGGAUCUAAUGUUCAAUGUUCCUUGGACACCAAGGUAGUGCCGGGGGAGGUCGGAUUUCCCCCUACAGCUAUAUACAUCAUUUAUUUUACACAUAGCCUCGGUAUCGCACACUGGGCAGCAAGGGCAACGAAAACGACUUUUAUGAAAAUCCGAGGCAGUGAGUCGGCGAGCGCAUUAAGAGUUUUGGCGUAGGGUGAGCUGUGAGCCGGAGCCAUCCGAGAGGCCAUUGAAGAGAUCGUCUCGACGGCUUCGAUACUUGACGCCUCAUAGCCAGUGAGAGACAGUUUCAUAGCGCAGGGGGUUUGAAGAUUUCGAACUCUUAGCCCAAGUGCGUUAUUUAUUUAUUUAUCUAUCUAUCUAUCUAUUUAUUUAUUUAUUUAUUUUUCUUUUGUUUUCAUCAGCAUGUGCUUGAUAUUCUAGCAGAAAGAAAACUUGGAAAACAUUGUUGAGCAUUAAAGCAAACAUAACCUAUUAAUCAUGCAUUCUGAACCUUCAUUUAGCUACUGUUGGGUGAAGCUGCUAGCAGUGAAAACAUUAAGAUACGGGUAAGAUUUGAUGAUAUAUUAAUUUAUGCCAUCUCUGUAAGAUGUGGUUAGUGGUGUAGUAGCAACUUGGCGAAUAGUGAUUUGCCAUUUUAUCCGCCGUUGGCUUUGUAACACUUUGGAUACAAAGCUUGGCACCAUAUUCCCAUAUUCACCACACCGACACUUCAAACAUUCAAGUAUUGCAACACUAUAUAUAUAUACUGUUGCAAUAUAUAUAUGUAUACUCUAGAUAAAAAAAGUUAUUUAUGAGAGCAAAACCUUUCUGACACACACCGAAUAGGCCAUAACAUAAGCCAUAGGCUGACAAUAGAAAAAAAAUGAAGGGGGGGAAAAAAGAGUGCAGGUAAAGUCAAUAUAUUGCUUCAGUAUCUAAAUUUAUUGUUCCUUUGUCUAAAACUUCAUUUACACAAUUUUCCUUCUUCCUUCUUUGAGCUAUGAACCGACAAAGUCAAAUAGGUUAAAGACAUAAUAUGGCUUACUAUAAACAAUUAUAUAAAAGACUAUCCACUGUUGCAGACAGGAAUAGAACCUGAUGUGGUCUUCAGAUGUUGUAACCCAUCCACCUCAAGGUUUUAUGUGUAGUGUGUUUUGAGAUGCUAUUCUGCAUGCCACGGUUGAAACAAUUGAUUAUUUGACUGUCAGAUUUAUCCAAUCUGAACAUUCUUCUCUGACAUCCUUUACAAGGCUUUCAGAACUACCUGGAUGGUUGUUUACUUGUGGUUGUAUUAUAGCUUGUGGUUUGAUGGUUUCACUUUAAUUUGUUAACUAGAUUAGCAAGUUCUGGAAAUCAGUGAGAUCACAUGGGAAGCACUUAACCUGCAUUUCGCCUAAUUUUGUACACCGUGCUGCUGCUUAUGAUUGCUAAAUUUUGUAUAAUUGCCCUUAGGAUCAAGUGUACUCAUAUUUCUAAUAAAGUGGCCAAAAAUGUUGUCCUAAUAUUUUAAAAUAAUGAUAUUGGACAAUGAUGCCUAUUAAUUAUGACUUGUAAUGGUAGGUGUAAAGAGAUAACAGACAUGUUCAUGGUGCACUUGCUGGACAUGUUCAGAGUCACUCUGCAGGGCCUUCAAUAAUAUGAUGGUGUUAGGGAUGGAGUAAGUGAAAAGACAGGGAUGCGGUACAUAAGAUGCAACUGUAGAGAAUGAGUUGUAGUAGAUAAGGGCUACUGGUGCCCCUUAGGGGCGAUUGGGAGGGGGGGUGGUAAUGGGGAGAGACAGACUGGAACUCAGCCAACUGCACGAUUCACUAAGCUCCCACCAGGGGAGGGAAAAGAAGAGAGAGACCGUGUGUGUGUGUGUGUGUGUGUGUGUGUGUGUUUGUGUGUGUGUCUGUGUGUGAGUAAGAGAGAAAGUCUAAAUGUGUGUGUGUAUGUGAGAGAGAGAGAGAGUA